CCCAUUCUCACUCCAAAGGCGUCAAAAACCGAAGCAUGGUCAAGCGCCCCUAGCGUCACUUUUAUGACGCCAAAUGUGCCUCUCGGCGUCGAAUAUCGAAGCACUACGACCUUCAUUGCUUUCAAUGGGAAACUUUUGGCGUCAGAAUUUGACACGAGGACAUGAGAUGUUUAUCGCUAUGAAAUCACGUUCAAGAAGUCUCAUUCAGCACACAUCGCGAUACUUGCUAUCAGUUCCACAGUUUGGCUGAAAAGACAUAAAGGCAGUCAGCCCAGUGGUGUUUCUGGAGAGGGAUUCCUUCAGAAAUGGAGAAGACAGAAAGCUGCGGAGGCAGAUAUAUGCAGCAGAUUGUUUGAGGAUAACGCUGUAGCUCCAUCAUGCACAAGGACUCACCUCGUUAACUCUUUAUCCCCCGCACACACAGAAAUGGUCCCUGGAUCAGUGAUUAGACUUUGCAGUGGUUUGAUUUUUGCAGAAGAUGUAACUUUGUUUUAAUUAUAAGCUCAUAAUGAAUACAUUACAGAACCAGUGAUGAAAACAAUAGUUAAAAAUAGCGCUCCAUAUUAAAAAUAUAUUGCACACUUGACAUGCAUGUCUUCAUGGUGUUUUUUUGUGAGUUUGAAACAUUUACAUUGUGUUGUAUAACAUUUUGGUCACAACACUUUUUCCAGUGUUCUCUGAAAGACAUACUGUAUUUACUGUUUUGUUUUUUAAUAAAAGCAUUUUCAU